GCAGGCCUAACACAUGCAAGUCGAGGGGUAACAUAAAAAAGCUUGCUUUUUUGAUGACGACCGGCGCACGGGUGCGGAACGCGUAUGGAACCUGCCCCUGUCAGGGGAAUAGCCCAGGGAAACUUGGAUUAAUGCCCCAUGGUAUCGUUUUAUCGCAUGAUAGGACGAUUAAAGAUUUAUCGGACAGGGAUGGCCAUGCGUACCAUUAGUUAGUUGGUGAGGUAACGGCUUACCAAGGCAGCGAUGGUUAGGGGCCCUGAGAGGGGGAUCCCCCACACUGGUACUGAGACACGGACCAGACUCCUACGGGAGGCAGCAGUGAGGAAUAUUGGACAAUGGGCGGGAGCCUGAUCCAGCCAUGCCGCGUGCAGGAUGACGGCCCUAUGGGUUGUAAACUGCUUUUAUACGGGAAGAAACGCACCUACGUGUAGGUGUCUGACGGUACCGUAAGAAUAAGGACCGGCUAACUCCGUGCCAGCAGCCGCGGUAAUACGGAGGGUCCGAGCGUUAUCCGGAAUCAUUGGGUUUAAAGGGUCCGUAGGCGGGCCUGUAAGUCAGGGGUGAAAGUUUGUGGCUCAACCAUAAAAUUGCCUUUGAUACUGCAGGUCUUGAGUCAUGGUGGGGUUGCCGGAACAUGUGGUGUAGCGGUGAAAUGCAUAGAUAUCACAUAGAACACCGAUCGCGAAGGCAGGUGACCAACCAUGUACUGACGCUGAUGGACGAAAGCGUGGGUAGCGAACGGGAUUAGAUACCCCGGUAGUCCACGCCGUAAACGAUGGAUACUAGCUGUGGGGACUUCGGUCUCCGUGGCCAAGCGAAAGUGAUAAGUAUCCCACCUGGGGAGUACGUUCGCAAGAAUGAAACUCAAAGGAAUUGACGGGGGCCCGCACAAGCGGUGGAGCAUGUGGUUUAAUUCGAUGAUACGCGAGGAACCUUACCAGGGCUUAAAUGCAGGCUGCAUGGGGUGGAGACACCCCUUUCUUCGGACUGCCUGCAAGGUGCUGCAUGGUUGUCGUCAGCUCGUGCC
rnacentral:rRNA from 1 species